rnacentral:tRNA from 2 species
CGGAGUGUAGCUCAGACUGGUAGAGCAUCGUCUUCGGGAGGCGGGGGUCGCUGGUUCAAAUCCAGUCACUCCGACCA